rnacentral:rRNA from 1 species
UACGAGGGGGCGAGCGUUGUUCGGAAUUAUUGGGCGCAAAGGGUGCGUAGGCGGUUUGGUAAGUCUGAUGUGAAAUCUAUGGGCUCAACUCAUAGUCUGCAUCGGAAACUGCCGGGCUUGAGUGUGGGAGAGGUGAGUGGAAUUCCUGGUGUAGCGGUGAAAUGCGUAGAUAUCAGGAGGAACACCUGUGGCGAAAGCGGCUCACUGGACCAUAACUGACGCUGAUGCACGAAAGCUAGGGGAGCAAACAGG